rnacentral:rRNA from 1 species
ACGCACGCUGGCGGCGUGCUUAACCCAUGCCCGUCGAACGGAAAGGCCCCUUUGGGGGUACUCGAGUGGCGACCGGGUGAGUAACACGUGAGUAACCUGCCCUUGACUUCGGGAUAACUUCAGGAAACUGGGGCUAAUACCGGAUAGGAAUCCUUGCUGCAUGGUGGGGGUUGGAAAGCUUCGGCGGUUUUGGAUGGACUCGCGGCUUAUCAGCUUGUUGGUGGGGUAGUGGCUUACCAAGGCUUUGACGGGUAGCCGGCCUGAGAGGGCGACCGGCCACAUUGGGACUGAGAUACGGCCCAGACUCCUACGGGAGGCAGCAGUGGGGAAUAUUGCACAAUGGGCGGAAGCCUGAUGCAGCAACGCCGCGUGCGGGAUGACGGCCUUCGGGUUGUAAACCGCUUUCAGCAGGGGCGAAGCUUGUGGUGACGGUACCUGCAGAAGAAGCACCGGCUAACUACGUG